GAACAUUUUCAUCCCUCCCAGAAGAAACACACGUCUGUCAGCAGUCAUUCCAUUUCCCCCUCCCUGCAGCCCCUCGCAACCACUAAUCUACUUCCUGUGGAUUUGCCUCUUCCGACCAUUUCAUGACGCCGUGUUCCUGGCGAUGCGGCUGCCUCCUGGAGCUCAAGAGCUGGCGCAAGAAAUGGCAGGGACGGAAACAGCGUUGAUUCAGCCAGAGUGCGGUGAGGUCGUGGAAGAGAGGCACCAAAUGAGGGGCUCUGCGUCCGGAAGAGAGGGAGAACCAUAGUAAUCCCCAGAUGAACAGAAGAUCUUUGGGGAAGGAAGAGGGGAGAAAAAUCCACGCUGAAACCAUCAGAUGUCCGUGGUAACUGCACGGUGGUUUGGCCUGGCUGCAGCAUCUGCUCCCCAGACUGUAGUGGCACUUUACAGUGUUAUCCUGUGUUCUCUACAGUUCAUAAUGCUUCAUAAGUAGCACAGAUACAUUUCUACAUCAGUUCCCACAGUGGGUGACUAAUAAACUAAAUAUGACUCUACUCUUCACAAAACUGUUUAGUGAGAAAGAACUUGAGAACAGAGACUUUGAUUUGGAUGCUGAAAAUGUAAGUUGCCUCAUGUAUGGCUUUUGCCUCAGUGAACAAUGUUUUCUUG